AAGAGGAGUUUGUGGGAGAAGAGACAACUAGAUCUGUAUAGAUUAGAUCAUGGUGGUCUCCAUAAAUAGACCUGUUGCCAAAGAGUGGAUGAUGGAGGGACCACAGCCAGACAUCAGGACAGAAGUCUGCAGGAGUCAGCAGCUACACACACCACAAAGGCUCUUUUAAGAGCCACAUUUUGAGAGCAUCUUUGGCUUUCUACACACACCACAAAGGCUCUUUUAAGAGCCACAUCUUGAGAGCAUCUUUGACUUUCAGCUACACACACCACAAAGGCUCUUUUAAGAGCCACAUCUUGAGAGCAUCUGACUUUAAAGUUCUCUACAGUCAACCACACUCACUCAACGACGAUAUCCACAGUUCACACUCUAUCAAAACCAAGGUAUGUGUAUUUAUUGUGACAGAAUUAUUAGACAUUA